GACGAACGCUGGCGGCGUGCUUAACACAUGCAAGUCGAACGAAGUGGCGAACGGGUGAGUAAUACGUGGGUAACCUGCCCUCCUUUUUGGGAUAAGCCUUGGAAACGGGGGCUAAUACCGAAUAAAGGGGGAUGGGCUCGCGGCCUAUGAGCUUGUUGGUGGGGUGAUGGCCUACCAAGGCGGUGACGGGUAGCCGGCCUGAGAGGGUGACCGGCCACGUUGGUACUGCGCUACCGCCCAGGCUCCUACGGGAGGGAGCAUUUGGGGAUAUUGCCCAAUGCGCGAUGGCCUUAUGCAGCGUCGCCGCGUGAGGCAUUAAGGUUUUCGGGUUGUAACCCUCUUUCGCUAUCGAUCCGUUAGGUAGAGAAGAAGCGCCGGCUAACUACGUGCCAGCAGCCGCGGUAAUUC
rnacentral:rRNA from 1 species